UACGUAGGGGGCAAGCGUUGUCCGGAUUUAUUGGGCGUAAAGAGCGUGUAGGCGGCCUGACAGGUCUGCUGUGAAAACUCGAGGCUCAACCUCGAGAUGUCGGCGGAAACCGUCUGGCUAGAGUCCGGAAGAGGAGAGUGGAAUUCCUGGUGUAGCGGUGGAAUGCGUAGAGAUCCGGAAGAACACCGGUGGCGAAGGCGGUCUGCUGGGCAGUUGCUGACACUGAGGCGCGACAGCGUGGGGAGCAAACAGG
rnacentral:rRNA from 1 species